GAAUAGACCUGAUGGAUUGAAAAUCCCUUUUGGGCAUUGGAUAAUUAUUUUUAUCAAAAUUUUCCCAAAAGGAUUGUAACAAACAGCAGGACUGGAC
rnacentral:sRNA from 1 species